rnacentral:rRNA from 1 species
AUUGAACGCUGGCGGAAUGCUUUACACAUGCAAGUCGAACGGCAGCACGGGGCAACCUGGUGGCGAGUGGCGAACGGGUGAGUAAUAUAUCGGAACGUGCCCAAUCGUGGGGGAUAACGUAGCGAAAGUUACGCUAAUACCGCAUACGAUCUACGGAUGAAAGCGGGGGAUCGCAAGACCUCGCGCGAAUGGAGCGGCCGAUAUCAGAUUAGGUAGUUGGUGGGGUAAAGGCUCACCAAGCCAACGAUCUGUAGCUGGUCUGAGAGGACGACCAGCCACACUGGAACUGAGACACGGUCCAGACUCCUACGGGAGGCAGCAGUGGGGAAUUUUGGACAAUGGGGGCAACCCUGAUCCAGCCAUGCCGCGUGCGGGAAGAAGGCC